UACCAGCACCCCGAGUGGUCGGGACGAUUAUUGGGCCUAAAGCAUCCGUAGCCGGUACUGCAAGUCUUCCGUUAAAUCCACCUGCUUAACAGUUGGGCUGCGGGGGAUACUACAGCGCUAGGAGGCGGGAGAGGCAAGCGGUACUCAAUGGGUAGGGGUAAAAUCCUUUGAUCCAUUGAAGACCACCAGUGGCGAAGGCGGCUUGCCAGAACGCGCUCGACGGUGAGGGAUGAAAGCUGGGGGGAGCAAAGCCGGAU
rnacentral:rRNA from 1 species